rnacentral:rRNA from 1 species
GAACGCUAGCUACAGGCUUAACACAUGCAAGUCGAGGGGAAACGAUAUUGAAGCUUGCUUCUGAUAGGCGUCGACCGGCGCACGGGUGAGUAACGCGUAUCCAACCUGCCCAUCACUUGGGGAUAACCUUGCGAAAGUAAGACUAAUACCCAAUGACGUCUCUAGAAGACAUCUGAAGGAGAUUAAAGAUUUAUCGGUGAUGGAUGGGGAUGCGUCUGAUUAGCUUGUUGGCGGGUAACGGCCCACCAAGGCGACGAUCAGUAGGGGUUCUGAGAGGAAGGUCCCCCACACUGGAACUGAGACACGGUCCAAACUCCUACGGGAGGCAGCAGUGAGGAAUAUUGGUCAAUGGACGAGAGUCUGAACCAGCCAAGUAGCGUGCAGGAUGACGGCCCUAUGGGUUGUAAACUGCUUUUAUAAGGGAAUAAAGUGAGUCUCGUGAGACUUUUUGCAUGUACCUUAUGAAUAAGGACCGGCUAAUUCCGUG